UACGGAGGGUGCAAGCGUUAUCCGGAAUCAUUGGGUUUAAAGGGUCCGCAGGCGGUUCUAUAAGUCAGUGGUGAAAUCUCUCGGCUCAACCGAGAAACUGCCAUUGAUACUGUAGGUACUUUGAAUUCGGUCGAAGUGGGCGGAAUAUGACAUGUAGCGGUGAAAUGCUUAGAUAUGUCAUAGAACACCGAUAGCGAAGGCAGCUCACUAGGCCUGGAUUGACGCUCAGGGACGAA
rnacentral:rRNA from 1 species